rnacentral:tRNA from 1 species
GCCUCUGUGGCCUAAUGGAUAAGGCAUCGGUCUCCUAAACCGGGGAUUGCGGGUUCGAGUCCCGCCAGAGGCC